rnacentral:rRNA from 1 species
GUGACGAAGCGACGCCGCGUGGGUGAGGAAGGCCUUCGGGUUGUAAAGCCCUGUCAGGAGUUAAGAAAUGUAGACUCGCUAAUAUCGGGUCUAUUUGACAAAGGCUCCAAAGGAAGCCACGGCUAACUCUGUGCCAGCAGCCGCGGUAAUACAGAGGUGGCAAGCGUUGUUCGGAAUUAUUGGGCGUAAAGAGCACGUAGGUGGAUUUGUAAGUCAGACGUGAAAGCCUUCUGUUCAACGGAAGAAUUGCAUCUGAAACUACAAACCUUGAGUGUAGGAGGGGAGAAUGGAACUUCUGGUGGAGCGGUGAAAUGCGUAGAUAUCAGAAGGAACGCCGGCGGCGAAAGCGAUUCUCUGGCCUAUUACUGACACUCAGUGUGCGAAAGCUAGGGGAGCAAACGGGAUUAGAUACCCCGGUAGUCCUAGCCGUAAACGAUGGGCACUAAGUAGAGGGGUUUUU